ACUCCUCAUGGAUUCUUAAGCCUUUGGGAUGUAGGCACUGACUAUAUAUGGAACAACAUCUAUAAAACUAAGUGUUCUGUUAGAACAUGCAGAAGUGAGAAUGAGUCAGAGAGCCAGAAGCCAACCAGAAAAAUGAGAGCCGUGAGUGUCCAGACUUCUGUGCCAACACUUCCAGAAGGGACUUGGUACUACUUGAAGGACUUCUCCAAGGACAGAAGAUUCUUUCUAUCUCAUAAAAAGAUGGAUACUCCUGAAGG